rnacentral:rRNA from 1 species
CACUCCUGCGGGAGGCAGCAGUGGGGAAUUUUGGACAAUGGGCGAAAGCCUGAUCCAGCAAUGCCGCGUGAGUGAAGAAGGCCUUCGGGUUGUAAAGCUCUUUUGUCAGGGAAGAAACGGUGAGAGCUAAUAUCUCUUGCUAAUGACGGUACCUGAAGAAUAAGCACCGGCUAACUACGUGCCAGCAGCCGCGGUAAUACGUAGGGUGCAAGCGUUAAUCGGAAUUACUGGGCGUAAAGCGUGCGCAGGCGGUUUUGUAAGUCUGAUGUGAAAUCCCCGGGCUCAACCUGGGAAUUGCAUUGGAGACUGCAAGGCUAGAAUCUGGCAGAGGGGGGUAGAAUUCCACGUGUAGCAGUGAAAUGCGUAGAUAUGUGGAGGAACACCGAUGGCGAAGGCAGCCCCCUGGGUCAAGAUUGACGCUCAUGCACGAAAGCGUGGGGAGCAAACAGGAUUAGAUACCCCAGUAGUCCCAUG